rnacentral:misc_RNA from 1 species
GAUGAAGAACGCAGCGAAAUGCGAUAAGUAAUGUGAAUUGCGGAAUUCAGUGAAUCAUCGAGUCUUUGAACGCACAUUGCGCCCCCUGGUAUUCCGGGGGGCAUGCCUGUCCGAGCGUCAUUGCUGCCCUCAAGCACGGCUUGUGUGUUGGGCCUCCGUCCUCCUCCCGGGGGACGGGCCCGAAAGGCAGCGGCGGCACCGCGUCCGGUCCUCGAGCGUAUGGGGCUUCGUCACCCGCUCUUGUAGGCCCGGCCGGCGCUUGCCGACACAUCAAUCUUUUUUCCAGGUUGACCUCGGAUCAGGUAGGGAUACCCGCUGAACUUAAGCAUAUCAAUAAGCGGAGGA